GCUGUGGGGCCACUGCCAGUGAAGAAACCACGAGGAAGGCCGAAAGGAAGCAAGAAAGCGAAUGCUGUAUCUCAAAUGUUAGAACCUUCUGCUGAGAAAAGGCCAAGAGGGAGGCCCCGCAAGUGGCCUCAACUAGUGAUCCAAGAGAGAGUGUGUCAGGAAGGAGCUCCUCAGGGAAGCAGCGACUCGAAUUUGACCGCACCGCCUGCUACACAAGGUUUGAAAUUAGUCAUAAUUACACAGAACUAAACCAUGGAACCAGGCUCCUAGCAAACCACGCAUAUACGCCCAAAGCUGCUGCUCUGGCUGCUGUCGUUCUGUGAAUCCUACAGACACUAGUGUGUCUGUGAGGCUUCCAGGAGCAAUGCAAGAAAGACGGGCAGCAAAUUUCAUCCGUCUAAUUUGGUUGUGCCUAUCGCAGCAAAAGUGGAGGCAGAAAAGAGGGAUGAGGAGAGAAUCUCUAUCUUUGUCUUUCUAAGAAGUCAUUUAAACUGAGGUCCUGGACACUGUUACAGGUCUGGCUGAGUGAAAUUGUCUUCUGACUGUGUUACAUAGAAAGUGAAAAUGGACUCUCAUAAGGG